rnacentral:tRNA from 1 species
GGUACUGUAGACUAAUUGGUUAGGUCGGCUCAACGGAAUGGAGGAGAUGCGGGUUCGAAUCCCGCCCAUAUUG